AGAAUAAAUCCUAACCAUUUAAAUUUAAUCUUGGAUGACCGAGAUUCAUUCCCUGUUGUGCGUUUUUAACAUUUUUUGUAAUCUUAUAAUUCAUACAUAAUAUACGGUAGAGGGUAUAAUUGGGGCUACUGAUUUAUUCUCUCUCUUAAUUAGUUAUCUGUUUCCGAAAAUAAAGCCUCUUUAUGGGGAAAGAAAAUGUUAUCAAAGCAAAUGAAUAAUAAUAAAAUAUUUCAAAGAAAAUUCAAAGAUAAUCCCAUAUGAGAUCGUUUAAAAUGAGGGUAACUCGAAAAAUUGAGUUUUAAUUAUCAUUUGUUGUGCGAAUUAGUUGAGAGUAUGUAGAUGUAUAACUGUACGAAUUAUUUGUGUUUUAUGGGUAUGUGAUUAUGUACGAAUUAUUAUGUUUGAGCUAGUGCAUUAUUGUGUUUUAUGAAUGCAAAUAUUUUGUACGAAUUAUGUUGCUUGAGCUAGUGAAUUAUUGUGUUUUGUGAAUGUAAAUAUUAUGUACGAAUUAUGUGAUUUGAACUAGUGAACUAUUGUGUGUGGUGAAUGUAAAUAUUAUGCACGAAUUAUGUGGUUGAACUUGUGAAUUAUUGUAAUGCAUGUGUAUGUGCAUUUGGCAUACUGUUAUAAUUCGUACUUGUUCUUUAUGUGAAGCGUUAUAAUUCGUACACAAGCGAUAACAAUUAAUCUUUUUUUUUUUUUGUAUUAAUCAAAUUGGGUUGCAGAAAUACAGAAAUAGUCAAUUGUUGUGUUGAUUAAUUUGGGUUGUCCAUAAUUUCCGACGUGAAGAUUUCAAUUUGCUAAUUACCGUGUUUUAAUUUUGAUUUAGGUAUAGAGAGAAAAAGAUACACCCUUAAAUGUAAUCCCCACAAUUAAGGAAAACAUAUCUAUUAAAAGUUUAAAAUUACUUGUUUACCCACUAACACAAACUACCGAAAAAAUGGCUGCAUAAAGUAUUAAAAUGAUCCAGCCGUUCAUUCAUACAUAUCUAAUGGCCUAUAACAGUUCCUAUUUUAUAAUCUAACAUUAGUUUUUAUUUUAGCCUCACC
rnacentral:lncRNA from 1 species